AUACAUCUUUCAUACCACAUAAUUCAUCAAAUCUUGCAGUAAAAGACAGGCAAAUCAUCACACAUUUGGGCAAAUCAAGGGGAAAAUAUGAGAUUUCAAUUUAUUGACGAUCGAAUCUUAGUUUUGGGCAAAGAAGGGGAGGCACAACUGGAAUUCAAGAGACCAUUGAAGAGAUCCAAGUUUCAAGAUUUCUCCUCUUCUACUUCAUUAAUAUAAAAUCCGCAUGAUAUUCCAUAAUUCAAAGAUGAUUUCUUUUAAGUUUGUAAUGUUAGGCUAGAUUUUUGUUUAUUAAUAUUUCGAUGUUUAAUAUGUGUUUAGUCUUGGAUGAUUGUUAUUAAAUUCAAUGCUUUUAAAUUAAUUAAUUAUUAAUUGAAUUGAUGUGUGAAUUUUAUUAUAAUCGAGAGAGUUCAUAAGACAGAUAGCAUUAUAUAAAACCUGUUGCGAAGUCCGACAAAGGAUAGAGAUAUACCCUAUAACUUCUAGGAUUUCAAUAAAUAUUUCAAUGUUUUAAUGCAUGAUUUCAUGUUUCCAUCUUCCAUGGAAAUAUAGGAAGGUCACGUGAGAGGAUAAAUUUACUUAUAUUCAAGAAAGAUUAUUAUAUAACUUAGGAAUGCUGAUAAACAAGAAUGCAUACAUUUUGUCAAGUCUUGAUUGCUUUAAAAGUGGAGAUUCAAAAUCUUAAUAAUCAUUCCAUAUAGUUUACAAAGGCUCUCAUAAUUUGAUCAUUAUAAUAGGUA
rnacentral:lncRNA from 1 species